UAGGGAAUAUUGCUCAAUGGGGGAAACCCUGAAGCAGCAACGCCGCGUGGAGGAUGAAGGUUUUCGGAUUGUAAACUCCUUUUGUUAGAGAAGAUAAUGACGGUAUCUAACGAAUAAGCACCGGCUAACUCCGUCGCC
rnacentral:rRNA from 1 species